rnacentral:rRNA from 1 species
GAUGAACGCUGGCGGCGUGCUUAACACAUGCAAGUCGAACGAAGCACUUUAUUUGAUUUCCUUCGGGACUGAUUAUUUUGUGACUGAGUGGCGGACGGGUGAGUAACGCGUGGGUAACCUGCCUUGUACAGGGGGAUAACAGUUGGAAACGGCUGCUAAUACCGCAUAAGCGCACAGCAUCGCAUGAUGCAGUGUGAAAAACUCCGGUGGUAUAAGAUGGACCCGCGUUGGAUUAGCUAGUUGGUGAGGUAACGGCCCACCAAGGCGACGAUCCAUAGCCGACCUGAGAGGGUGACCGGCCACAUUGGGACUGAGACACGGCCCACACUCCUACGGGAGGCAGCAGUGGGGAAUAUUGCACAAUGGGCGAAAGCCUGAUGCAGCGACGCCGCGUGAGCGAAGAAGUAUUUCGGUAUGUAAAGCUCUAUCAGCAGGGAAGAUAAUGACGGUACCUGACGAAGAAGCACCGGCUAAAUACGUG